rnacentral:rRNA from 1 species
UACGUAGGGGGCAAGCGUUAUCCGGAUUUACUGGGUGUAAAGGGAGCGUAGACGGCAGGGCGAGUCUGAUGUGAAAGGUCGGGGCCCAACCCCGGGACUGCAUUGGAAACUGUCCGGCUGGAGUACAGGAGAGGUAAGUGGAAUUCCUAGUGUAGCGGUGAAAUGCGUAGAUAUUAGGAGGAACACCAGUGGCGAAGGCGGCUUACUGGACUGUAACUGACGUUGAGGCUCGAAAGCGUGGGGAGCAAACAGG